GAUGAAGAACGUAGCAAAAUGCGAUAAGUAAUGUGAAUUGCAGAAUUCAGUGAAUCAUCGAAUCUUUGAACGCACAUUGCGCCCGCCAGUAUUCUGGCGGGCAUGCCUGUUCGAGCGUCAUUUCAACCCUCAAGCACAGCUUGGUGUUGGGACUCGCGUUAAUUCGCGUUCCCCAAAUUGAUUGGCGGUCACGUCGAGCUUCCAUAGCGUAGUAGUAAAACCCUCGUUACUGGUAAUCGUCGCGGCCACGCCGUUAAACCCCACCUUCUGAAUGUUGACCUCGGAUCAGGUAGGAAUACCCGCUGAACUUAAGCAUAUCAAUAAGCGGAGGA
rnacentral:misc_RNA from 1 species